AUACUAAACCAAAAUGUUCUGAAAUAAGACCUGUUUUGUAAAAAAAUCAUAAGAAAAGGUGAAUAUUCAAAUUUAAAAUAAUAAUGAAACGGAACUAAAUUGGAAAUAAAUAUUAUGUACAGAUUCUGAAUUUGUAUAGCAACUUGGACGAAUUCUCCUGCCUUAUCUGGUCGGAGGUGGUUUCUUUUUUCUUCGUAUAACAGUCCUAUUUCUGAAAAUACAAACUCACUGUAAACAAUACUUGAAGGGGGUUGAUAAAUAUUUCAUUUCUAGAUUUGUGCAAUUUGGAAAAUAGCC